rnacentral:rRNA from 1 species
UGGGGAAUAUUGGACAAUGGGCGAAAGCCUGAUCCAGCAAUGCCGCGUGAGUGAUGAAGGCCUUCGGGUUGUAAAGCUCUGUCGGGAGGGACGAAAAAGCAGCUUAACAAACUGCGUUGACGGUACCUCCAAAGGAAGCACCGGCUAACUACGUGCCAGCAGCCGCGGUAAUACGUAGGGUGCAAGCGUUAAUCGGAAUUACUGGGCGUAAAGCGUGCGCAGGCGGUCUUGCAAGACAGAUGUGAAAUCCCCGGGCUUAACCUGGGAACUGCAUUUGUGACUGCAAGGCUGGAGUACGGCAGAGGGGGAUGGAAUUCCGCGUGUAGCAGUGAAAUGCGUAGAUAUGCGGAGGAACACCGAUGGCGAAGGCAGUCCCCUGGGCCUGUACUGACGCUCAUGCACGAAAGCGUGGGGAGCAAACAGGAUUAGAUACCCACGUAGUCCCUGAGCGGGCUGGCAAGGCGCAU